UACGGGGGGGGCAAGCGUUGUUCGGAAUUACUGGGCGUAAAGGGUCUGUAGGUGGCCAACUAAGUCAGACGUGAAAUCCCUCAGCUUAACUGGGGAACUGCGUCUGAGACUGGAUGGCUCGAGUGCAGGAGAGGAAUGCGGAAUUCCAGGUGUAGCGGUGAAAUGCGUAGAUAUCUGGAGGAACACCGGUGGCGAAGGCGGCAUUCUGGACUGCAACUGACACUGAGAGACGAAAGCCAGGGGAGCAAACGGG
rnacentral:rRNA from 1 species